rnacentral:rRNA from 1 species
CGUGCGUCCUCAUUUUGUUGGUUUCUGAGGAUGCCGUAAUGAUUAAUAGGGCUAGUCGGGGAUGUCAGUAUUGCAUUGUCAGAGGUGAAAUUCUUGGAUUUAUGCAAGACUAACUACUGCGAAAGCAUUCAUCAAGGAUGGUUUCAUUAAUCAGUGAACGAAAGUUAGGGGAUCGAAGACGAUCAGAUACCGUCGUAGUCUUAACCAUAAACUAUGCCGACUAGGGAUUGGAUGGUGUUAUUAUUUUGACCCAUUCAGCACCUUACGAGAAAUCAAAGUUUUUGGGUUCUGGGGGGAGUAUGGUCGCAAGGCUGAAACUUAAAGAAAUUGACGGAAAGGCACCACCAGGCGUGGAGCCUGCGGCUUAAUUUGACUCAACACGG